AUUGAACGCUGGCGGCAUGCUUUACACAUGCAAGUCGAACGGCAGCGCGGGCUUCGGCCUGGCGGCGAGUGGCGAACGGGUGAGUAAUACAUCGGAACGUGCCCAGUAGUGGGGGAUAGCUCGGCGAAAGCCGGAUUAAUACCGCAUACGACCUGAGGGUGAAAGCGGGGGAUCUUCGGACCUCGCGCUAUUGGAGCGGCCGAUGGCAGAUUAGCUAGGUGGUGGGGUAAAGGCCUACCAAGGCGACGAUCUGUAGCUGGUCUGAGAGGACGACCAGCCACACUGGGACUGAGACACGGCCCAGACUCCUACGGGAGGCAGCAGUGGGGAAUUUUGGACAAUGGGCGAAAGCCUGAUCCAGCAAUGCCGCGUGUGUGAUGAAGGCCUUCGGGUUGUAAAGCACUUUUGGCGGGAACGAAAAGGACUGUGCCAAUACCACGGUUCGAUGACGGUACCCGCAGAAUAAGCACCGGCUAACUACGUG
rnacentral:rRNA from 1 species